rnacentral:rRNA from 1 species
CCUACGGGCGGCAGCAGUGGGGAAUAUUGGACAAUGGGGGCAACCCUGAUCCAGCCAUGCCGCGUGUGUGAAGAAGGCCCUCGGGUUGUAAAGCACUUUCAGUGAGGAAGAACGCCUGGUGGUUAAUACCCAUCAGGAAAGACAUCACUCACAGAAGAAGCACCGGCUAACUCCGUGCCAGCAGCCGCGGUAAUACGGAGGGUGCGAGCGUUAAUCGGAAUUACUGGGCGUAAAGCGCGCGUAGGUGGCUUGAUAAGCCGGUUGUGAAAGCCCCGGGCUCAACCUGGGAACGGCAUCCGGAACUGUCAAGCUAGAGUGCAGGAGAGGAAGGUAGACUUCCCGGUGUAGCGGUGAAAUGCGUAGAGAUCGGGAGGAAUACCAGUGGCGAAGGCGGCCUUCUGGACUGACACUGACACUGAGGUGCGAAAGCGUGGGUAGCAAACAGGAUUAGAUACCCUAGUAGUC